UUAACUAUUAUCAAGUACUCAGACAACACUAAAUCAAGAGUUUGAGAUCCUCUGGCAGGCACUGACCAGCCGAGGCCGGUGGCCCAAAGGCGGGCCUGCCAAAGCAACAUAGGUAUGGUAAACAAAGGGUGGGAGAUCUACCCCGAAGGGCAAGUUCUCUGUAAUGAUCCUUCCGCAGGUUCACCUACGGAACGCUAAGGUCCAACCGCAUUUUCAGCGGUGGGCCGGUCAUAUCUGAAUCCAGCUGUGUGGACCACCUUCGUUUGAUCUGUGGACUGCAAGGGCAGCUGCAUGUUACCUCUGGUCGGUAUCCAAGCACAGUGAAGAUGUUGCCUACAAGGGGUAGACUAGGUUACAAGGCUUCAGGAGAAGGAAAA
rnacentral:misc_RNA from 1 species